rnacentral:rRNA from 1 species
UGAGGGAAAGCUGCAAAGUACUCUGAAGAGAGAGUUCAAUAGGACGUGAACCCGUCUGCAGGGAAGCGGGUGAGACCGCACGAUUGACCCGCCGUGGAUUCAGCUCAGGGGAUCUGUUCUGUUCUGGCCGGGCGGAGUCCAGGGCGGCUGCGCCAACUCUGGAUCUCUGCCCGGUCUCUCGGACGGUUUCUUGGGUGCACUUCCGCGAACGUGGGCAGCGUGGGGAUCGGUUCGGCUGCGCCUAAAGUUGCGGGNGNUGUUGUUCCCUUGCGUUCGGUGGCCGUGGCCCGGACCGAGGAAUCUGUCCGUCUGUCUCCUCCUUCGUGGNNNNNACGGGUCUGUCUCGGUCGGCGUGGUGGUUCGACUGGAAGAGGGCUGUUCUCUGGCCGGCCUUCUCCGACUGCCACCGCGUUCAUUCCGGCAGGUCUGAUUAAGGCGACAUGAUCUCCCACGCCCAGGUCGGCACCUCACCUGGCCC